rnacentral:rRNA from 1 species
AACGAACGCUGGCGGCAUGCCUAACACAUGCAAGUCGAACGAGACCUUCGGGUCUAGUGGCGCACGGGUGCGUAACGCGUGGGAACCUGCCCUUAGGUUCGGUAUAACUCCCCGAAAGGGGUGCCAAUACCGGAUAAUGUCUUCGGACCAAAGAUUUAUCGCCUUUGGAUGGGCCCGCGUUGGAUUAGCUAGUUGGUAGGGUAAAAGCCUACCAAGGCGACGAUCCAUAGCUGGUCUGAGAGGAUGAUCAGCCACACUGGGACUGAGACACGGCCCAGACUCCUACGGGAGGCAGCAGUGGGGAAUAUUGGACAAUGGGCGAAAGCCUGAUCCAGCAAUGCCGCGUGAGUGAUGAAGGCCUUAGGGUUGUAAAGCUCUUUUACCCGGGAUGAUAAUGACAGUACCGGGAGAAUAAGCUCCGGCUAACUCCGUG